rnacentral:rRNA from 1 species
GACAAACGCUGGCGGCGUGCUUAACACAUGCAAGUCGAACGGAAAGGCCCUGCUUUUGUGGGGUGCUCGAGUGGCGAACGGGUGAGUAACACGUGAGUAACCUGCCCUUGACUUUGGGAUAACUUCAGGAAACUGGGGCUAAUACCGGAUAGGAGCUCCUGCUGCAUGGUGGGGGUUGGAAAGUUUCGGCGGUUGGGGAUGGACUCGCGGCUUAUCAGCUUGUUGGUGGGGUAGUGGCUUACCAAGGCUUUGACGGGUAGCCGGCCUGAGAGGGUGACCGGCCACAUUGGGACUGAGAUACGGCCCAGACUCCUACGGGAGGCAGCAGUGGGGAAUAUUGCACAAUGGGCGGAAGCCUGAUGCAGCAACGCCGCGUGCGGGAUGACGGCCUUCGGGUUGUAAACCGCUUUCGCCUGUGACGAAGCGUGAGCGACGGUAAUGGGUAAAGAAGCACCGGCUAACUACGUG